UCUUGUAGGGGGGUUAAGUUCUCCUUUAAUGAUUGGUAACAUAACCUGCAUUAGAACCAACCAUAACCACAUCUCUCUUCUUGGUCCUGUAGAUGGAGACUGCUUGUAGAGCCUGUGAAAACUCACCCAGUUUGCCAGAGCAGAAUUCACCAGCAGGCCCUGGCUCAGGAAUUCAGCCACCGUCUAGCGUGGAAGCCUCCACCGGAGUCAAAUACAGCUCAUUUGGAGAUGUGUCAAUGCCACCCAUGCCCAUUGCUUCAGUUGCACCAUCUGCCUCCAUGCCAGGUACACAUUUCAUAACGUGCCGUUUCAGUUCAAAAAGAAUAUUUCUAGAGAGUAAAAGUUCCUUGGGGGAAGCUUGACUGUGAACUCUGCUCUCAGUGGACCAAGUUUGUGUGUGAAUGUAAUCAAUGUUGUAACGUUUACGCCCACAUCUGUGUUGUUGCCCUGACGGCAGGGGGUUUAAAUUUGCUGUAUAGACAUCAGUAUUGAUAUGAUGUGUCCAGUGAUCCAACUUCUAUUUUACAAUCCUUUGCAACGUGUCCUAGAUAAAGAAAUGUUAUUCUUAGUCUCCAGGAUGUUCCAAGAGAUCCUGCUGACCUUUCUCUAUGUAUUUAGAAAGGGACUGAGGAGAGUCUGUUAUUGAGAGACUGACAGUUGGGCUUCCAAAUAGAACAGGACACAUUGUAUCUAUGAGCAAUGACCCACCUUUAAGCAUUGGCUAUGUCUUUCAUCUUCUGUUCUGUUAUUUUGCACUUACUAUACAAUGUCGCCUUUAUUGUUCCAGGAAACCACAUCCCACCCCUGUACCUUGUCUGGUGCAGCAGACCAAACCUCAACAGCAAGGGUAUCAGCAGGCAUGUCUCACUGUUGUCUUCAGUAGACACAAUUAAAAAAGUCUGUCCAAAAUAUACUAGUACCCUCUCUGUGUCCAGGUCUCCGUAAUGUUCCAAUAGAUCCUGCUGACCCUUCACUAUAUACUCAGAAGGGAUCUCUGAGUAGAUCUCAUUACUGAGAUACUGAGAGGCACAUUAGAUGCCUCUUUAGGGCUCAUCCAAAGAAAAACAAUUAGAGGCCAGCAGAAUGUAUUAAACAUUCAGUUUAAUAUGUUAUGUUACAUUUUUGGGUUUGAUGUUACCUUGCUUUUCCCAAAAGGCUGCAGCCGCGCAGCAGAUUCCCUGCAGGCACACCUCCCUGCAGGCUCAAGCUCACCUUAGUUUGUGAGGCGGCCUCCCCAUGUUCCAGUUGCAAGAAAUUUACAGCCGUUCAGGUAAAUGCAGCAAAUCUUUCACAAUAACUCAGAGACGUUUGGAGAUCUCCAUUCUUCCUAAUUAAGCACUGCAGGUUUAACAUGGGACUAUGGCAGUUAGACGUUUCUUCAUUUGACCUAGCAAAGCAGUGAAAGGGUUUAGGUUUUGCCUUUGCACAGUUUCAGAUCACAUGUAGUCCUGACUGAAGAAUCUAUUUUUAUUUGCAGGUCCCAGGCUCCCAGGUCUACAUGCAUCCGCCCAGUGCCAUGGUACUGAUCCGUGGUAUAGACCUCAAGCCACCAUAUAACCCUUUCCCUGGCAUGCAAACACUGGACAUGGUCACAACCCAGGCCACGUCCCCUUAUCAGCCCCUGAAUGGAAGCCAGCAGCUGGUGUAUGAAAACCAGCAUAACCAGGCCUCCCAGAUGAUGGACUCACAUAUGUAAUCAGGCUCCCAACUUCAGAUGCCCCGAUGCAGUUCAGGACAGCAAACCAUGAUCUUGCCACAGUCCAUUCAGCUUUCUCAAGCACAAAACCUGCCUGUAGGGGCUCCUCAGAGAAUGCAGACUCCCGUGCUGACAAGCAGAGAGUCCUCCCAGAUGGAGAUGAAAAGCUUCCAUUUUACAGAUGGCAAACAGAACAUGCAGACAGCCAUGCAAGCACAGCACUCCUAUAAGUAAAACACAGACCUGACGACAACAAAGGCGACUGAGGUCUCCCAAACUUUCCGAGCAGCCCUCAGCGAGUGCAAUGAACCGGCCAGGACUGGGACCAUCAAGCCUAGAGUGGUGAAAGUGGAAGAGAGCAAGACUUGAGAGGAGCUCUAUUGUGUAUAAAGAUAAGCUCU